rnacentral:rRNA from 1 species
CAGUCGCCACGGUAAUACGAAGGGUGCAAGCGUUAAUCGGAAUUACUGGGCGUAAAGCGCGCGUAGGUGGUUUGGUAAGAUGGAUGUGAAAUCCCCGGGCUCAACCUGGGAACUGCAUCCAUAACUGCCUGACUAGAGUACGGUAGAGGGUGGUGGAAUUUCCUGUGUAGCGGUGAAAUGCGUAGAUAUAGGAAGGAACACCAGUGGCGAAGGCGACCACCUGGACUGAUACUGACACUGAGGUGCGAAAGCGUGGGGAGCAAACAGGAUUAGAUACCCCUGUAGUCCCUGUCUCUUAUAC